CGGCGAGUGAAGCGGCAAAAGCUCAAAUUUGAAAUCUGGCCCUUUCAGGGUCCGAGUUGUAAUUUGCAGAGGAUGCUUCGGGAGCGGCGGCGGUCUAAGUCCCCUGGAACGGGGCGUCGCAGAGGGUGAGAAUCCCGUCUUGGAUCGCCUGCCCGUGACCGUGUGAAGCUCCUUCGACGAGUCGAGUUGUUUGGGAAUGCAGCUCAAAAUGGGUGGUAAAUUUCAUCUAAAGCUAAAUACUGGCUGGAGACCGAUAGCGCACAAGUAGAGUGAUCGAAAGGUUAAAAGCACCUUGAAAAGGGAGUUAAAUAGCACGUGAAAUUGUUGAAAGGGAAGCGCUUGCAACCAGACUCGGCCGCAGAGGCUCAGUGGGCACGUGUGCCCAUGCACUCCUCUGUGGGCGGGCCAGCAUCAGUUCUGACGGCCGGUCAAAGGCCCCUGGAAUGUAUCCUCCUCCGGGAGGUCUUAUAGCCAGGGGUGCAAUGCGGCCAGUUGGGACUGAGGAACGCGCUUCGGCACGGAUGCUGGCGUAAUGGUUGUAAGCGACCCGUCUUGAAACACGGACCAAGGAGUCUAACAUCCACGCGAGUGUUAGGGUGUCAAACCCUUGCGCGCAGUGAAAGCGAACGGAGGUGAGAUCCCCGCAAGGGGCGCAUCAUCGACCGAUCCAGAAGUCUUCGGAUGGAUUUGAGUAAGAGCGUGGCUGUUGGGACCCGAAAGAUGGUGAACUAUGCCUGAAUAGGGUGAAGCCAGAGGAAACUCUGGUGGAGGCUCGCAGCGGUUCUGACGUGCAAAUCGAU
rnacentral:rRNA from 2 species